CCUACGGGAGGCAGCAGUGAGGAAUAUUGGUCAAUGGGCGGGAGCCUGAACCAGCCAAGUCGCGUGAGGGAAGACGGUCCUACGGAUUGUACACCUCUUUUGCCGGGGAGCAACGGGGUCCUUGCGAGGGCCCACUUAUAGUACCCGUAGACAAAGCAUCGGCUAACUCCGUGCCAGCAGCCGCGGUAAUACGGAGGAUGCGAGCUUUCUCCGGCUUUAUUUGGUUUAAAGGGUGCGUAGGCGGGCUGUUAAGUCAGCGGUAAAAUGUCGGGGCUCAACCCCGGCCUGCCGUUGAAACUGGCGGCCUCGAGUGGGCGAGAAGUAUGCGGAAUGCGUGGUGUAGCGGUGAAAUGCAUAGAUAUCACGCAGAACUCCGAUUGCGAAGGCAGCAUACCGGCGCCCGACUGACGCUGAGGCACGAAAGCGUGGGUAUCGAACAGGAUUAGAUACCCUUGUAGUC
rnacentral:rRNA from 1 species